rnacentral:rRNA from 1 species
UACGGGGGGGGGCAAGCGUUGUUCGGAAUUACUGGGCGUAAAGGGCUCGUAGGCGGCCAACUAAGUCAGACGUGAAAUCCCUCGGCUUAACCGGGGAACUGCGUCUGAUACUGGAUGGCUUGAGUGUGGGAGAGGAAUGCGGAAUUCCAGGUGUAGCGGUGAAAUGCGUAGAUAUCUGGAGGAACACCGGUGGCGAAGGCGGCAUCCUGGACCGGUAUUGACGCUGAGGCGCGAAAGCCAGGGGAGCAAACGGG